rnacentral:pre_miRNA from 1 species
AUUCUACUCCCUCCGUUGCACAAUACAUGCCUUCUAUUUGUCAAAAUAUAUAUGUAUCUAGACAUGUUUUAGUAUAUAGGUACAUCCAUUUUUUGACAAAUAGAAGUCAAGUAUUUUGGAAUGGAGGGAGUACACG